rnacentral:rRNA from 1 species
UGGGGAAUAUUGGACAAUGGGCGAGAGCCUGAUCCAGCCAUGCCGCGUGUGUGAAGAAGGUCUUCGGAUUGUAAAGCACUUUAAGUUGGGAGGAAGGGCAGUAAGCGAAUACCUUGCUGUUUUGACGUUACCGACAGAAUAAGCACCGGCUAACUCUGUGCCAGCAGCCGCGGUAAUACAGAGGGUGCAAGCGUUAAUCGGAAUUACUGGGCGUAAAGCGCGCGUAGGUGGUUCGUUAAGUUGAAUGUGAAAGCCCCGGGCUCAACCUGGGAACUGCAUCCAAAACUGGCGAGCUAGAGUAGGGCAGAGGGUGGUGGAAUUUCCUGUGUAGCGGUGAAAUGCGUAGAUAUAGGAAGGAACACCAGUGGCGAAGGCGACCACCUGGGCUCAUACUGACACUGAGGUGCGAAAGCGUGGGGAGCAAACAGG